CUCCGGUUGAUCCCGCGGGACCCGACUGCUAUCAGAGUGGGACUAAGCCAUGCGAGUCAACGCAGCAAUGCGUGGCAUACGGCUCAGUAACACGUAGUCAACAUGCCCAGGGGACGUGGAUAACCUCGGGAAACUGAGGAUAAACCGCGAUAGGCCAAGAUUUCUGGAAUGGAUAAUGGCUGAAAUCUAUAUGGCCCCUGGAUUGGACUGCGGCCGAUCAGGCUGUUGGUGAGGUAAUGGCCCACCAAACCUGUAACCGGUACGGGCUCUGAGAGGAGGAGCCCGGAGAUGGGCACUGAGACAAGGGCCCAGGCCCUAUGGGGCGCAGCAGGCGCGAAACCUCUGCAAUAGGCGAAAGCUUGACAGGGUUACUCUGAGUGAUGUCCGUUAAGGGCAUCUUUUGGCACUUCUAAAAAUAGUGUAGAAUAAGGGGUGGGCAAGUCUGGUGUCAGCCGCCGCGGUAAUACCAGCACCCCGAGUGGUCGGGACGAUUAUUGGGCCUAAAGCAUCCGUAGCCGGUUCUGCAAGUCCUCCGUUAAAUCCACCUGCUCAACAGAUGGGCUGCGGAGGAUACUACAGGGCUAGGAGGCGGGAGAGGCAAGCGGUACUCAGUGGGUAGGGGUAAAAUCCUCUGAUCCACUGAAGACCACCAGUGGCGAAGGCGGCUUGCCAGAACGCGCUCGACGGUGAGGGAUGAAAGCUGGGGGAGCAAACCGGAUUAGAUACCCGGGUAGUCCCAGCUGUAAACGAUGCAGACUCGGUGAUGGGUUGGCUUCGAGCCAACCCAGUGCCGCAGGGAAGCCGUUAAGUCUGCCGCCUGGGGAGUACGGUCGCAAGACUGAAACUAAAAGCUAUAGGGGGGGAGCA
rnacentral:rRNA from 1 species